GUUUUAUUAGGUCUAAAGCCACUCGCGCUGCGCGCUCGUGGCUUUAAACCUAAUAAAACACUCCUGCUCGUUUUUAAAUAGCACAUCAACAAUGUUUUUAUAGGCCUAUAGUGAUACUCGACGGCGCAUGCGGGUUGUAACGAGCUCCGUAAAAUCUUUUUAAAAUCUUCUUAAAGAUUUUGCAUUUUCCCUUUAGAGUUCUAACAAUAAAAUUACAAAACAGUGUAUAAAGGUCGCCUAGCUUGAAGAUAUGAGGUAUUUCGGUGGCGCAAUCGUCAGAGCACACACCUCUGCUAUCGUGGGUUCGAUUAUCGUUGACUUAUAAUAGUUACUGUAUGUGAACAGAGUUAGUCAACGCUCUGCCGAAAGUCCUGGGUUUCCUCCGGGCACUCUGGAUUUUUUUCUUCCCUUGAUAUAUAUUGAUUAAUGGCACUCAAACUUACAUGGAAAGAAUCUAUACACUGGCAUUACUGUAUUUGCAGAUGAUUGUUGUUUACUUAAAGAAUAAAUGACCCAGUUACACGAUACCAGAUUUGCAUCGCAGCGACAUCGCGUUAAGACGCUCCUGGUCACUAAUCAACCUCGUCCCCA